AGAGUUUGAUCAUGGCUCAGGACGAACGCUGGCGGCGCGCCUAACACAUGCAAGUCGAACGGACGAGAGUUGGUGCUUGCACCGACUCGAGUUAGUGGCGGACGGGUGAGUAACGCGUGAGUAACCUGCCUUUUAGAGGGGGAUAACGUCUGGAAACGGACGCUAAUACCGCAUAAUAUAUUUAUACUGCAUGGUGUAGAUAUCAAAGGAGCAAUCCGCUAAGAGAUGGACUCGCGUCCAAUUAGCUAGUUGGUGAGGUAACGGCUCACCAAGGCGACGAUUGGUAGCCGGACUGAGAGGUUGAACGGCCACAUUGGGACUGAGACACGGCCCAGACUCCUACGGGAGGCAGCAGUGGGGACUAUUGCACAAUGGGGGAAACCCUGAUGCAGCGAUGCCGCGUGAGGGAAGAAGGUUUUCGGAUUGUAAACCUCUGUCCUUGGUGAAGAAGAUGACUGUAGCCGAGGAGGAAGCCACGGCUAACUACGUGCCAGCAGCCGCGGUAAUACGUAGGUGGCAAGCGUUGUCCGGAAUUACUGGGUGUAAAGGGAGCGUAGGCGGGAAUGCAAGUUGAAUGUUAAAACUACAGGCUCAACCUGUAGUCGCGUUCAAAACUGUAUUUCUUGAGUGAAGUAGAGGUAGGCGGAAUUCCUAGUGUAGCGGUGAAAUGCGUAAAUAUUAGGAGGAACACCAGUGGCGAAGGCGGCCUACUGGGCUUUAACUGACGCUGAGGCUCGAAAGCGUGGGUAGCAAACAGGAUUAGAUACCCUGGUAGU
rnacentral:rRNA from 1 species